rnacentral:rRNA from 1 species
UACGUAGGUGGCAAGCGUUGUCCGGAUUUAUUGGGCGUAAAGCGCGCGCAGGUGGUGCGGUAAGUCUGCCGUGAAAUCUCCCGGCUCAACUGGGAGGGGGCGGUGGAGACUGCCGGACUGGAGGGACCUAGAGGCCGGUGGAAUUCCCGGUGGAGUGGUGAAAUGCGUAGAGAUCGGGAGGAACACCAGUGGCGAAGGCGGCCGGCUGGGGGUGCCCUGACGCUGAGGCGCGAAAGCGUGGGGAGCGAGCCGG